rnacentral:rRNA from 1 species
UACGUAGGGUGCGAGCGUUGUCCGGAAUUAUUGGGCGUAAAGAGCUUGUAGGCGGUUUGUCGCGUCUGCUGUGAAAAUCCGGGGCUCAACCCCGGACUUGCAGUGGGUACGGGCAGACUAGAGUGUGGUAGGGGAGACUGGAAGUUCCUGGUGUAGCGGUGGAAUGCGCAGAUAUCAGGAGGAACACCGAUGGCGAAGGCAGGUCUCUGGGCCAUUACUGACGCUGAGAAGCGAAAGCAUGGGGAGCGAACAGG